GACGAACGCUGGCGGCGUGCCUAAUACAUGCCAGUCGAGCGGACGGAUGGGAGCUUGCUCCCAGACCGUCAGCGGCGGACGGGUGAGUAACACGUGGGCAACCUGCCUGUAAGACUGGGAUAACUCCGGGAAACCGGGGCUAAUACCGGAUAACUCUUUCCCUCACAUGAGGGAAAGCUGAAAGAUGGCAUCUCGCUAUCACUUACAGAUGGGCCCGCGGCGCAUUAGCUAGUUGGUGAGGUAACGGCUCACCAAGGCGACGAUGCGUAGCCGACCUGAGAGGGUGAUCGGCCACACGGGGACUGAGACACGGCCCAGACUGCUACGGGAGGCAGCAGUAGGGAAUCUUACGCAAUGGACGAAAGUCUGACGGAGCAACGCCGCGUGAGUGAUGAAGGUGUUCGGAUCGUAAAACUCUGUUGUCAGGGAAGAACAAGUACCGGAGUAACUGCCGGUACCUUGACGGUACCUGACCAGAAAGCCACGGCUAACUACGUG
rnacentral:rRNA from 1 species